AUGCAGAGGAGGCUCCAAUGGCUAGAGAAAGCCCAGAGGCAGAGAGACAGAGAGACUAGCCAUUGAAGGUCAGUCCUGCAAGCACUGAAAUGAAAGAGGUAUAAAGAUGGAACAAAUUCAUCAAGAAAAGUAGAAAUGAGAAAGCACACAGCCCCAGAGAAAGUGAAGAUCAAAAGAAUAUCAUCUUAAGACCCGGCCCUACUUCCCUGCUGUGGGUCCAUAGAAUUCCCCUGUACUCAAUACAUCUGAGGCAACUGAGGACCAAAGAGAUUAAUAUGCCUAAAGUCAGAAGCCUAAUGAGUAAGCAGAGUAGCCAAGAUGUGAAGACAUGAACCCAGAUACACAGGCUUCAGAGCAAGAGUAUAGAAGACGUGAAACUCCGGUGACUUGGGAGUGUGUGG
rnacentral:lncRNA from 1 species